rnacentral:misc_RNA from 1 species
AGAUUGUCAUGGGACUUGAGGAAGCAUUUGGAAUCACUGUGGAAGAAGAGAAUGCACAGACUAUUGCAACAGUUCAAGAUGCUGCUGACUUGAUUGAGGAUCUCGUCGCCAAGAAAUGUUAAGAGAAGAGAAAGUUGAGUUGUAGUAGCUUGGUAGGAGGGAAGGAGGUGUCAUUUUGGUUAUAAGUUUGCUUUUUAUCUAUUUAGUCAUAUCAGUUAAUGGUUUAUAUCGAGUUUUCUAUUGCAGUCUUGUUCCAAUGAGCUUAAUAGGAUUUCUUUCAUCUGAGAGGAACUCUCAUUCAUGCUUGUUUGUUUCAUUUUCUGUAAGACUGAUCUUAUUUAAGGACAUCCUUU